GCGGAAGGCGCCAUGUUUCUCGGGGGCCUCGGGCUCGGGCUCCUCCUCCUCCUCCUGGGCACCGGCCUCCGAGGUUGAGAAGGCCCUUCAGGAGAGAAAUGCCUGAGCUCAAGGGCAGCUGCAGUGAGCCCUGACGGCCAGGAAGACGUUAUGGGGUUUUCACAUGGGUCCGUUCCGUCAUGCUCACACCAGCCCAUUCCAGGCCUGAUGGAGCGGCCCGCCGAACUGCAGAGGUGCUCUGAAGUGAAUAGUCUCCAUUUGCUCACCUCUCAGUCCACCCCAACCUUGCUCCACCUCGUCGCUUCUCCAGAACAGCUCUAGCAAGGCUCACCAGCCCGUCUGCUGCUAAAUGGAACUGGCGUGUUGAAGCAUCUUCUUGCAUGAGCCAUUAUAUGAUUUCCAAGGCUCGGUCAUAAAGGCCAGGUUCUGCCUGGUUCUCUGGAGGUGCUUGCUCGAGAGGAAGUCAGCCACCGAGUACUAAGUCCUGCUACCCUGAGACUGCCCUGCUGGAAAAGCCACACUGGGGCCCUGUACUCAGCAGCCCUGCUGACCUGCCAGCUGACAGCCAGCAGUGACAGCCAGCCACGCUGAGCGAGUCAUCUCGGACAUUCGUUCCAGGCGAGCCUCAGACUAAGGACCUGAGCCCCAGCCAACGUCCGACUCCAACCUCCAGAGAGACCCCAGGCGAGGGCGGCCCAGCUAAGCCCUUCGUGAAGUCCUGAUCCGCAGAGCCACAAGCCAGAUAAAAUCAGGUUUUUUAGAAAAAAUGAAGUAUAGUUGACCUAACAAUACCGUGCCUCAGAUGUAUAGCAAAAUGACUUAGUUAUAUGCGUAUAUAUUCAGUUGUGUAUGUAUUUUAGAUUCUUUUCCUUUAUAGAUUGUUAUAAGAUGUUGAAUGUAGUUCCCUGUGUUGUACAGUAAAUCCUUGUUCCUUAUCUGGCUUAUGAAUGGUGGUUUGUAUCUGUUAAUGCCAUACUCCUAAUUUAUCCGCGCCUUCCCCUGCAGUAACCAUAAGAUUGUUUUCUGUGUUUGUGCAUCUGUUACUGUUUUGUAUAUAGAUUCAUUUGUAUUAUUUUAUAGAUGCCACAUAUAAAUGAUAGAUG
rnacentral:lncRNA from 1 species